GACGUAGGGCGCGAGCGUUGUCCGGAUUUAUUGGGCGUAAAGAGCUCGUAGGCGGCUUGUCGCGUCGACUGUGAAAACCCGUGGCUCAACCAUGUGGUCUGCAGUCGAUACGGGCAGGCUAGAAUUCGGUAGGGGAGACUGGAAUUCCUGGUGUAGCGGUGGAAUGCGUAGAGAUCCGGAAGAACACCGGAGGCGAAGGCGGCUUGCUGGGCGUGAUCUGACGCUGAGGCGCGAAAGCGUGGGGAGCGAACAGG
rnacentral:rRNA from 1 species